GUCGAACGGGCUCUUCGGAGCUAGUGGCGGACGGGUGAGUAACGCGUGAGGAUCUGCCCUUAGGACGGGGACAACAGCUGGAAACGGCUGCUAAUACCCGAUGUGCCGAGAGGUGAAACUAUUUGGCCUGAGGAUGAGCUCGCGUCUGAUUAGCUAGUUGGAGUGGUAACGGCACACCAAGGCGACGAUCAGUAGCUGGUCUGAGAGGAUGAUCAGCCACACUGGGACUGAGACACGGCCCAGACUCCUACGGGAGGCAGCAGUGGGGAAUUUUCCGCAAUGGGCGAAAGCCUGACGGAGCAAGACCGCGUGCGGGAGGAAGGUCUAUUGAUUGUAAACCGCUUUUGAUAGGGAAGAAGAUCUGACGGUACCUAUCGAAUCAGCAUCGGCUAACUCCGUGCCAGCAGCCGCGGUAAUACGGGGGAUGCAAGCGUUAUCCGGAAUUAUUGGGCGUAAAGCGUCCGUAGGUGGUUUUAAAAGUCUGUUGUCAAAUCGCGAGGCUUAACCUCGUACAGGCAGUGGAAACUGUAAGACUAGAGUGCGGUAGGGGUAGAGGGAAUUUCCAGUGUAGCGGUGAAAUGCGUAGAUAUUGGAAAGAACACCGGUGGCGAAGGCGCUCUACUGGGCCUGCACUGACACUGAGGGACGAAAGCUAGGGGAGCGAAAGGGAUUAGAUACCCCUGUAGUCCUAGCCGUAAACGAUGGAAACUAGGUGUUGCCCGUAUCGACCCGAGCCGUGCCGAAGC
rnacentral:rRNA from 1 species